rnacentral:rRNA from 1 species
AUUGAACGCUGGCGGCAUGCUUUACACAUGCGAGUCGAACGGUAACAGGCCGCAAGGUGCUGACGAGUGGCGAACGGGUGAGUAAUGCAUCGGAACGUGCCCAGUCGUGGGGGAUAACGCAGCGAAAGCUGCGCUAAUACCGCAUACGAUCUAUGGAUGAAAGCGGGGGACCGUAAGGCCUCGCGCGAUUGGAGCGGCCGAUGUCAGAUUAGGUAGUUGGUGGGGUAAAGGCCCACCAAGCCAACGAUCUGUAGCUGGUCUGAGAGGACGACCAGCCACACUGGGACAUGGACACGGCCCAGACUCCUACGGGAGGCAGCAGUGGGGAAUUUUGGACACUGGGCGCAAGCCUGAUCCAGCAAUGCCGCGUGCAGGAAGAAGGCCUGCGGGUUGUAAACUGCUUUUGUACGGAACGAAAAGGCUCUGGUUAAUACCUGGGGCUCAUGACGGUACCGUAAGAAUAAGCACCGGCUAACUACGUGCCAGCCGCCGCGGUAACAC